UCUUCCUCCUCUCCCCUCCCACGGUCUCCUCUUCUCCAUUAUCUCUCUCUCGCCCCCAACCCAAGAUUGAUGAAAAAUCCCUCGAUCUCUUCCUAUAGAUUAUCUCUCUCCCCCAAUGAAAAAACAAAUGGAUUGUAUCUCUCAAACGGAAGGCAUGGAUUCCAUGGGCUCAUGGAGCUUUUUGCAUCAAUAUAAUUUUCCUCAUGUGUAUGAGAUUCGUUUUUCGUUUACUGUUGAAUCAACUGUGGCUUUUCCUUGGAUUCAGAUUUACUCUUUCGUGUCGUCUGAUAGUGUUGUGCUCUCCACAGAUUGGAUCUGAAUCAUCUCACGUACAGGUUUUGGAUGCCUCAUGGAGAUCAGAUCGGAGGACACCAACUAUACCCAUACUCCGUGAUCUUUUCCUCUUGAUUAUCUCUCUUUCCCCCAAUGUAAAACGAAUGGAUCAAAUAGAAGACAUGGAUUCCGUGUGGUCAAGGAGCUUUAUGCAUCAAAAUAAUUUUCCUCAUCUACAUCAGGUACAAUUUUGGAUUCCACACGGAGAUCAUGUCGGGGCAUACCAACUAUACCCCUGCUCAAGAAUCUCCCACUCUGUGUGAAGGUUAUCUCUGUAUAAGUUCAAAAUUAUGGCGUGAAACAUGGGGAUGCAAUUAAACUCAAUGGAGAAGGAAACCUGGAAAGGGAUGAACAGAGUAAUUAGUCCGUGUGAUGCCAUUAAUCUUGACAACAACGAUACUAGAUGAAGAGUUCAGUUAUUGGUAAAUUUUAUGAUCUGCAAACAGUACAUGGUACUAUGAUUUAUAUAGUACUAGCUAUUAUAAAUAUAGAGGCAUAUUCUCAGUGCAUUAUAUAACACUAUAUUGGCUAGCUUCAUGUGUAACUGUGUGAUGUUAUUAAUUUGUGCAAGUCUCAUUCAAUCCAAAAUUGGCUUGACCGCCAUUGCAGCUGGCCACCGUCAUGAUGGUGGGUUCAUAACGCUGCCGCUUCUUGGGUGGAACGUCGUCGCUUCACGGCUGGUCGAAAUGCAGCGCCAAUGCAAAGGCAGGUUUAGCCAGCCCUGAAGUUCUGCAUCUAUGCGUACAUGUGAUGGUUUUCUAGGGCGUCACGUACAUAAGUAUAUGGUUUCCAGGCAAGUCAAUUCAGUUCGUUUUGAGUAUCAAAAAUUAUUUCCCAGGCUAUUGUGGACACAGGUUAUUGUCUGCAACUACUCAUGUUACAGGCAAUGCUGCCAGAAAAUGUUCUAAUGUCAUGGACACUGUUCACUUGCAACUAUAGAAUUUAUGUCUAAGGACCUUAUCCACACAAGGAUACUAUUGAACCUUCUUUGACAGUUGGAGACUGAGAUCGAGCAGAACUAUGGCAACCAUGUCGUGUGGAAAAGGGCCCAUGAACUAGCAUGUCAUCGUGUCACCGUGUUAGACAAUACAUUGCGUAAUGCAUGAGAGGCUCAUAUUAGGCUUGGCCAUCUUCUCUUGAUUUUUUUUCAAUCAGAUUGUUGUACUAGGGAAUUUGCACUGAUUACAACUAAGGAUCGGCCUUCACCUCACUCUAUGCAUUGUAACAUUGUUAUUUAAUUUAGGUUAAAGUUAUGAUAAAUGCAUGCCCAAUUUAGAGAUGAGAUGACUACUUUAAGUUCGGUUCAAGAUUUAACAACAGUCAUAUUAUUAGCCCAUUAUUCCGAACAUAUGCAAAACUAAGAAAAUUAAUUCAUUGUAGUCAACAUCAAUACCCCUGCCGUACUCCCAAGUGGAUGCAAUCAGAUUUGGGCGUACCAACUUUAAGUGUAAAUCCGACAUAAAAAAAUAG